UCGUAACAAGGUUUCCGUAGGUGAACCUGCGGAAGGAUCAUUAGUGAAUUUAAAAAAUACAGAAUUGGAUUGAAAAAUCCAAAUUCUUAUUUCUUUAUUCUUCUCUUCCACUGUGAAAUUUUAAACUAUUCGGGCGGCCUUUUGGCCGGUCGAGGUUUAGAGAUGGGACUGAGUGAAAAAAAAUUGUUGGGGAGUGCCUCCACUUUCAAGUGGAGCGGACGAUCUGCAGUUUCAAUUCUUCUGUUCUCUGAUCUAGCCGAAUUACCCAAUUUUUAGAGACAAUGUUAAAUUUGAAUGUGUUUUUUUAUUAAACAAAUUAAAACUUUCAGUGACGGAUCUCUUGGCUCUCGCAUCGAUGAAGAACGCAGUAAAUCGCGAUACGUAAUGUGAAUUGCAGAAAUAUGUGAAUCAUCGAAUCUUUGAACGCAUCUUGCGCUCUGGGGUACUCCUCAGAGCAUGCCUGUUUGAGUGUCUUUUAAUUCUCAUCUCAUAAUUUUUUAUUAAUUUAAAAUAAUUAUAGGUGGAUCGUGGCUGUUUUGACGACUAACCUCGUCUCAGCUGAAAUAUAGAAAGCGACGUCUAAAAUUCAGAGUAAUAAGAUGUUAACGUCGGCGUGAUAAGUAAAUUACGCAGUCAGUUUUCUGUCUAUCUCUCUGGUGUUCGCUACGAAUUACUAUAGUUUUGUUUUCAACAUUUGACCUCAAAUCAGGUAGGACUACCCGCUGAACUUAAGCAUAUCA
rnacentral:misc_RNA from 1 species